rnacentral:sRNA from 1 species
CUGUUGGAGAGAGCUGCACAGUAAUGUGAAUAUCAGGAGGCAAGGAUGAUUGGAGCCAUCUUGGAGGCUGGCUACCACAAUAAUGCUUCCUUCUUUUUGAAGGUCUUGCCUGAACACUUUGUGAUAUAGCCAUUCCAAGGUGAGAUGCCUCAGCUCGUAAAAGGAAUGAAACUGUUAAACCAGGCUGAUCCCUGUGUCCAGAUUUUAAUUCAGGAAACAGGAGAGCACGUUUUAGUCACAGCAGGAGAAGUCCACCUUCAGCGAUGCCUGGAUGACUUAAAAGAAAGGUUUGCAAAGAUUCAUAUUAGUGUAUCUGAACCUAUUAUUCCAUUCAGAGAAACAAUCACAAAACCCCCAAAAGUUGACAUGGUCAAUGAAGAAAUAGGCAAACAGCAAAAAGUUGCAGUCAUACACCAAAUGAAAGAAGAUCAAAGCAAAAUCCCUGAAGGAAUCCAAGUUGACUCUGAUGGGCUAAUCACCAUAACAACUCCCAAUAAACUUGCCACGCUCAGUGUUCGAGCCAUGCCCCUUCCAGAAGAAGUCACCCAGAUUCU